UGCGUAGGGUGCGAGCGUUAAUCGGAAUUACUGGGCGUAAAGCGUGCGCAGGCGGCGCGUUAAGACAGGUGUGAAAGCCCCGAGCUUAACUUGGGAAUUGCGCUUGUGACUGGCGUGCUGGAGUGUGGCAGAGGGAGGUGGAAUUCCACGUGUAGCAGUGAAAUGCGUAGAGAUGUGGAGGAACACCGAUGGCGAAGGCAGCCUCCUGGGCCAGCACUGACGCUCAUGCACGAAAGCGUGGGGAGCAAACAGG
rnacentral:rRNA from 1 species